AGAGUUUGAUCAUGGCUCAGGACGAACGCUGGCGGCACGCUUAACACAUGCAAGUCGAACGAGAGAAGAGGAGCUUGCUUUUCUGAUCUAGUGGCGGACGGGUGAGUAACACGUGAGCAAUCUGCCUUUCAGAGGGGGAUACCGAUUGGAAACGAUCGUUAAUACCGCAUAACAUAAUUGAACCGCAUGAUUUGAUUAUCAAAGAUUUAUCGCUGAAAGAUGAGCUCGCGUCUGAUUAGCUAGUUGGUAAGGUAACGGCUUACCAAGGCGACGAUCAGUAGCCGGACUGAGAGGUUGAUCGGCCACAUUGGGACUGAGACACGGCCCAGACUCCUACGGGAGGCAGCAGUGGGGAAUAUUGCACAAUGGAGGAAACUCUGAUGCAGCGAUGCCGCGUGAGGGAAGAAGGUUUUAGGAUUGUAAACCUCUGUCUUCAGGGACGAAAAAAGACGGUACCUGAGGAGGAAGCUCCGGCUAACUACGUGCCAGCAGCCGCGGUAAUACGUAGGGAGCGAGCGUUGUCCGGAAUUACUGGGUGUAAAGGGAGCGUAGGCGGGAUCGCAAGUCAGAUGUGAAAACUAUGGGCUUAACCCAUAAACUGCAUUUGAAACUGUGGUUCUUGAGUGAAGUAGAGGUAAGCGGAAUUCCUAGUGUAGCGGUGAAAUGCGUAGAUAUUAGGAGGAACAUCAGUGGCGAAGGCGGCUUACUGGGCUUUAACUGACGCUGAGGCUCGAAAGCGUGGGGAGCAAACAGGAUUAGAUACCCUGGUAGUCCACGCCGUAAACGAUGAUCACUAGGUGUGGGGGGACUGACCCCUUCCGUGCCGCAGCAAACGCAAUAAGUAAUCCACCUGGGGAGUACGACCGCAAGGUUGAAACUCAAAGGAAUUGACGGGGGCCCGCACAAGCAGUGGAGUAUGUGGAUUAAUUCGAAGCAACGCGAAGAACCUUACCAGGUCUUGACAUCGUAUGCAUAGCUCAGAGAUGAGUGAAAUCUCUUCGGAGACAUAUAGACAGGUGGUGCAUGGUUGUCGUCAGCUCGUGUCGUGAGAUGUUGGGUUAAGUCCCGCAACGAGCGCAACCCUUACUGUUAGUUGCUACGCAAGAGCACUCUAGCAGGACUGCCGUUGACAAAACGGAGGAAGGUGGGGAUGACGUCAAAUCAUCAUGCCCCUUAUGACCUGGGCCUCACACGUACUACAAUGGCUGUCAACAGAGGGAAGCAAAGCCGCGAGGUGGAGCGAACCCCUAAAAGCAGUCUUAGUUCGGAUUGUAGGCUGCAACCCGCCUACAUGAAGUCGGAAUUGCUAGUAAUCGCAGAUCAGCAUGCUGCGGUGAAUACGUUCCCGGGCCUUGUACACACCGCCCGUCACGCCAUGGGAGUCGGUAACACCCGAAGCCUGUAGUCUAACCGCAAGGAGGACGCAGUCGAAGGUGGGAUUGAUGACUGGGGUGAAGUCGUAACAAGGUA
rnacentral:rRNA from 1 species